rnacentral:rRNA from 1 species
GACGAACGCUGGCGGCGUGCCUAAUACAUGCAAGUUGAGCGCUGAAGGUUGGUACUUGUAGCGACUGGAUGAGCAGCGAACGGGUGAGUAACGCGUGGGGAAUCUGCCUUUGAGCGGGGGACAACAUUUGGAAACGAAUGCUAAUACCGCAUAAAAACUUUAAACACAAGUUUUAAGUUUGAAAGAUGCAAUUGCAUCACUCAAAGAUGAUCCCGCGUUGUAUUAGCUAGUUGGUGAGGUAAAGGCUCACCAAGGCGAUGAUACAUAGCCGACCUGAGAGGGUGAUCGGCCACAUUGGGACUGAGACACGGCCCAAACUCCUACGGGAGGCAGCAGUAGGGAAUCUUCGGCAAUGGACGAAAGUCUGACCGAGCAACGCCGCGUGAGUGAAGAAGGGUUUCGGAUCGUAAAACUCUGUUGGUAGAGAAGAACGUUGGUGAGAGUGGAAAGCUCAUCAAGUGACGGUAACUACCCAGAAAGGGACGGCUAACUACGUG